rnacentral:rRNA from 1 species
AACGAACGCUGGCGGCAGGCCUAACACAUGCAAGUCGAACGCCGUAGCAAUACGGAGUGGCAGACGGGUGAGUAACACGUGGGAACGUACCCUUCGGUUCGGGAUAAGCCAGGGAAACUUGGUCUAAUACCGGAUACGUCCGCAAGGAGAAAGAUUCAUUGCCGAAGGAUCGGCCCGCGUCCGAUUAGCUAGUUGGUGAGGUAAUGGCUCACCAAGGCGACGAUCGGUAGCUGGUCUGAGAGGAUGAUCAGCCACACUGGGACUGAGACACGGCCCAGACUCCUACGGGAGGCAGCAGUGGGGAAUAUUGGACAAUGGGCGCAAGCCUGAUCCAGCCAUGCCGCGUGAGUGAUGAAGGCCCUAGGGUUGUAAAGCUCUUUCGCCAGGGACGAUAAUGACGGUACCUGGAGAAGAGCCCCGGCUAACUUCGUGCCAGCCGCCGCUGUAAC